GAUGAACGCUAGCUACAGGCUUAACACAUGCAAGUCGAGGGACCGGCGCACGGGUGAGUAACACGUAUCCAACCUGCCCUUUACUCGGGGAUAGCCUUUAGAAAGACAGAUUAAUACCCGCUGUAAAGGAUGGGGAUGCGUUCCAUUAGGUUGUGGGGGAGGUAACGCAUCACCAAGCCUUCGAUGGAUAGGGGUUCUGAGAGGAAUGACACCCAGAUUGGAGCUGAGACACGGUCCAAACUCGUACGUGAGGCAGCAGUGAGGAAUAUCAGGCAAUGGGCGUUGUCCUGACCCGGCCAAGUAGAGUGAAAGAGCAAGGCGUAGGGGUCUUAAACUUUUGUUAGAUAAGGAGAUGUAUUCUAUGAAUAAGGAUCGGCUAACUCCGUGCCAGCAGCCGCGGUAAUUC
rnacentral:rRNA from 1 species